GAUGAAGAACGUAGCGAAAUGCGAUAAGUAGUGUGAAUUGCAGAAUUCAGUGAAUCAUCGAAUCUUGAACGCACAUUGCGCCCUUUGGUAUUCCAAAGGGCAUGCCUGUUCGAGCGUCAUUUGUACCCUCAAGCUUUGCUUGGUGUUGGGCGUCUUGUCUCUAGCUUUGCUGGAGACUCGCCUUAAAGUAAUUGGCAGCCGGCCUACUGGUUUCGGAGCGCAGCACAAGUCGCACUCUCUAUCAGCAAAGGUCUAGCAUCCAUUAAGCCUUUUUUUCAACUUUUGACCUCGGAUCAGGUAGGGAUACCCGCUGAACUUAAGCAUAUCAAUAAGCGGAGGA
rnacentral:misc_RNA from 1 species